rfam:Eubacterium sp. An11 An11_contig_11, whole genome shotgun sequence.
UGAUAGCGAUGAAGCGUGAGGUUGCUGCGCAUGGCGCAGGUUUUCCGUGGAGCGAAUGUCAAGUCAAGAUACUGGCGACAA